AUUUCUUGUUUUUUUUUUUAUGUUAAAUUAGGGGUGGAUGUGGCUUCUGGAAUGGAAAAGGAUUAGCUUUGGAUUUGUGGGAUAUCCAAGUCCUGCAGGAACUUGCUGGAAAUUUCUUAUAUUAGUGAUGGCUUGGAUGAAUUUCAGACUCAUCCUUCAGAAUUCUCUUGACACUGGAUUUUAGCUUUUGGUCUUCUCAAUUUUCUUUUCAUUUUUCAGCAGCCAAACUAAGGUUUCAAUGGAAUUUAAUCUGGAAGCCCGCAACAUUUGUGCUUUGGAAGAGUAUGUGCUGUUUAGAUACAUAGAUUUUCUGUGGAAGACAGGAGUAGGUGGCGGUGGUUUUGUCUUGAAAAAUAAAGGACAAAACGACCUGUCAUUUUCCUAACGCAUCAAACGAUAGCCCUUCUUGUUUUUUGGCUUUCUGAUUUCAAUGUUGUUUGUGCAUUUUUAAGUCGUUUUGAAGUGGUCGUUCAAAUGACAAUCUUUAGUGUUGAGAUUUGUCGUUUGCUAUUCAAUUGUCAUUUCCAUGGGAAUGUACCUUUUAAAGUUGAAACUCAUCGUUUGUUUGGUCACUGGACUCACACGUCAUUGUCAUGGGAUUGCUUUACGACAUGCCGUUUA
rnacentral:misc_RNA from 1 species